GACGAACGCUGGCGGCGUGCUUAACACAUGCAAGUCGAACGGAGAGGCCCUGCUUUUGUGGGGUGCUCGAGUGGCGAACGGGUGAGUAACACGUGAGUAACCUGCCCUUGACUUUGGGAUAACUUCAGGAAACUGGGGCUAAUACCGGAUAGGAGCUCCUGCUGCAUGGUGGGGGUUGGAAAGUUUCGGCGGUUGGGGAUGGACUCGCGGCUUAUCAGCUUGUUGGUGGGGUAGUGGCUUACCAAGGCUUUGACGGGUAGCCGGCCUGAGAGGGUGACCGGCCACAUUGGGACUGAGAUACGGCCCAGACUCCUACGGGAGGCAGCGGUGGGGAAUAUUGCACAAUGGGCGGAAGCCUGAUGCAGCAACGCCGCGUGCGGGAUGACGGCCUUCGGGUUGUAAACCGCUUUCGCCUGUGACGAAGCGUGAGUGACGGUAAUGGGUAAAGAAGCACCGGCUAACUACGUG
rnacentral:rRNA from 1 species